rnacentral:misc_RNA from 1 species
GUAUUGAUUGCGUGUGACCGCAAAAACAAAACAUUCUAGACUGUAUCGAAUUUUGUGUGAAAACGUGAGCCCUCCUGCAAAGGGGGGACCCGCGCGGUGAUGCACAAAGGGGUGAGAUGGAUAUUUGUAUGUGAGAGCACUCGGGCGUGCACGACGAAAAGUCAGCGACAACCCGGGUACCCCCAUUGUACGAUAAUGAUCCUUCCGCAGGUUCACCUACGGAAA